rnacentral:rRNA from 1 species
UACGUAGGGUGCGAGCGUUGUCCGGAAUUAUUGGGCGUAAAGGGCUCGUAGGCGGUUUGUCGCGUCGGGAGUGAAAACCUCGGGCUUAACUCGGGGCUUGCUUUCGAUACGGGCAGACUAGAGGUAUGCAGGGGAGAACGGAAUUCCUGGUGUAGCGGUGAAAUGCGCAGAUAUCAGGAAGAACACCUAUGGCGAAGGCAGCUCUCUGGGACGGUACUGACGCUGAGACGCGAAAGCGUGGGGAGCGAACAGG